AUUGAACGCUGGCGGCAGGCCUAACACAUGCAAGUCGAACGGUAGCACAGAGAGCUUGCUCUCGGGUGACGAGUGGCGGACGGGUGAGUAACGUCUGGGAAACUGCCCGAUGGAGGGGGAUAACUACUGGAAACGGUAGCUAAUACCGCAUAACGUCGCAAGACCAAAGUGGGGGACCUUCGGGCCUCACACCAUCGGAUGUGCCCGGAUGGGAUUAGCUAGGAGGGGGGGUAAUGGCUCACCUAGGCGACGAUCCCUAGCUGGUCUGAGAGGAGGACCAGCCACACUGGAACUGAGACACGGUCCAGACUCCUACGGGAGGCAGCAGUGGGGAAUAUUGCACAAUGGGCGCAAGCCUGAUGCAGCCAUGCCGCGUGUAUGAAGAAGGCCUUCGGGUUGUAAAGUACUUUCAGCGGGGAGGAAGGCGGUGAAGUUAAUAACUUCACCGAUUGACGUUACCCGCAGAAGAAGCACCGGCUAACUCCGUGCCAGCCGCCGCGGUAA
rnacentral:rRNA from 1 species